rnacentral:lncRNA from 1 species
UGUUGGUGCCGGUGUUGGUGUCGGUGUUGUUGGCGGUGCCGGUGUUGUCACGGUGCCGUGUCGGUGCCGGUUCUCAUGGUGACGUUCAGGGCCUGGAGCGCCGUGUCCCAGCCGCGCCGCAGCACCAGCACCUGGGGGGG